AUUGAACGCUGGCGGCAGGCCUAACACAUGCAAGUCGAGCGGGGUUUUCGGACCUAGCGGCGGACGGGUGAGUAAUGCGUAGGAAGCUGCCCGAUAGAGGGGGAUACCAGUUGGAAACGACUGUUAAUACCGCAUAAUGUCUACGGACCAAAGUGUGGGACCUUCGGGCCACAUGCUAUCGGAUGCGCCUACGUGGGAUUAGCUAGUUGGUGAGGUAAUGGCCCACCAAGGCGACGAUCUCUAGCUGGUUUGAGAGGAUGAUCAGCCACACUGGAACUGAGACACGGUCCAGACUCCUACAGGAGGCAGCAGUGGGGAAUAUUGGACAAUGGGCGCAAGCCUGAUCCAGCCAUGCCGCGUGUGUGAAGAAGGCCUUCGGGUUGUAAAGCACUUUCAGCGAGGAGGAAGGGUGGUGUGUUAAUAGCACAUCAUUUUGACGUUACUCGCAGAAGAAGCACCGGCUAACUCUGUGCCAGCAGCCGCGGUAA
rnacentral:rRNA from 1 species